CCUGCAUGAAGUCGGAAUUGCUAGUAAUCGCGGAUCAGCAUGCCGCGGUGAAUACGUUCCCGGGCCUUGUACACACCGCCCGUCACACCAUGGGAGUCGGUAACACCCGAAGCCUGUAGUCUAACCGUGAGGAGGACGCAGUCGAAGGUGGGAUUGAUGACUGGGGUGAAGUCGUAACAAGGUACC
rnacentral:rRNA from 1 species